CAUCAAACCACAUCAAGAGGAAUAUAAAGGAAAUCAGAAUAGAAUGCCCAGUAGAACUGUUACAAAAGGUUUGCCUCCUUGGAACAGCCAGAAUAAUCAAGGAAGUACAAGAUAAUUGAAAAGAACAGAAAGCAUGGUACUGUA